rnacentral:lncRNA from 1 species
AUUAUUGUAGUAGACUCUUAAUUUGAUUUGUGAAGAUUACCAUAUUAGUUGUUUUUAUAUUUUUUUUUGUUUUACUAUUUUGUUGCUUCAUGACCACUAGAAUAAACUCAUUUCAUUAUGAACUCGAAAGAGGAAACGUGUGUUAGAAUGAAGACUAAUGGGAGUAAGAUCUUUUUUUAAGUAAAGCAAAGAAUUGAUUUGUGGAUAGAACAAUAAUAUACCUAGAUUGUCUUAC